CUGCCCACAUCACAGAGAGGAGAUGGAGUUAAGAAGAUCCUGCUUCCAAGGGCAAAACAUAGCAGGUUUUGUUCUACUUUGUGACUUUAAAGGCACAUGCUAUGUAAGAUGCACACAAACAUGGACAUGAUUCAAAAAAGUAAAAAAAAAAGAUUACUUGUACUAUUUGCAGUCAAAAUUUAAUGGGAAGUACGAAAAAAUAUACAUAAGAAAGAUUCAUAGAAAGAAAAAGCAUGGAUUAUUUACUAAGGUAAGCAUCAUAUUACACUUAAGUUUCCCAAUCUACAUUUCUAGAGAUAAGAGUGAUCAAGAUUCACUUUAGUGGAUGUUUAAAAGGCACACAAAAACUAAAACAAAUGUUAUGCCAUUCCCCAAGAAACAGAACAAUGAGCAGAUAGAAGGCCAGAAACUACUGGGAAAGGGAAACUAGAGCAACAGCUGUUAACAGAUCAAGCAGGGGUGGGAACCGUGUACUAGUAUAAAUUACAGAGAGAUUAAGAGAGAAAAAAAACAAACAAACCCUUAAAACAUAACCAUGAAAAUAAAUAAGUUUAAACAGAAAUAUCACACUAAAAACGUCUUUAGACAUGUCACUACUGUAGCUUUCGUUUUACUGAGAAACCAAAUCUGAUGAGGAGAGGGAGGAGUUUAUAGAGGAAGUGUUUAAGCGAGAGGAAACCGAGACCCCUCCUUGCUAUCCUGCAGACUCUCUGGUCUGAUAGGGAGCGGAAAUGGACAGCUUGUAUGCUGUGAUCUAGUGUGCAAACUGUUGCUUUUUAAAAUUUACAGCAGUAAUAAUCACAUACUUUUUAAAUAAUGUAUCUUUUUCUGUGAUCUCUUCACUUGGCUACGCAAUAAGGAAGUUGUGCUCGUGUAACGUAACGAAUAAAACCACCACACAUUUGUCAAAAAAAAUGUAGGCUACAAUCCAUUUUACAAAACAGAUCUAGACCUACAGUUUUACAAUCAUCGCAUCUGAUUAAAUAGAAAAACAUUGCCUGCUUGACAGAGAAAUUCUUGAUCAUUUGUGAUUGUGUGCAGAUAUAUCUAGGGGAUUAUUUUAUAUUGCGAUUUGUUUCUGCAGAAUUAGAUAGGCAGUUUUGAGUUUGUUAAUAAUUUAUGAUAUUAAUGUUAUUUUUUCAAUUCCUCUCAAUUUUAGCUGCCACUAGAUGACUGCACAUGAGCUGAGAAAUCAUGCUGCCUAAGGAUGUCUUUGGCAUUGUGCUGAUGCUUGCAUUUAUUCAUCUUUCACAUUAAACUAUUAUUAUUAUUAUUAUUAUUAUUAUUAGAUCAGUCCUGUAUCUUUGAACUUUAGAUAUAUUAAUAAUAAUAAUGGGAUCAUUUCGUGUUUAGAUUUUAAGGAGGAGAGGAGGAGAACCCAACUGCCAAGGGAUUCGGGCACUUGGGUCCACUGUCCUGUUCUAGUGCAUUCUCUGGCAACACUGGAUCUCUGGCCGGGGUCCAGUGGACCUGCAGUGAACAGCGCCAGGUCUAUGACCCGCUGACAAAGCACCAGAAAACUAGAAGCAACCAAACAAACCACACAAACAAGAAAACUGAAGCCGAAGGCUGAAGGCUUCUGGUUGUCUGUUGCUUGGUUGGCAGGUGAUGGGGAUGGCCUGCUGUAAAACCAACCUGUGUUUUAUUUAUUUUUUAAAUUUUUUUAAUGAAGGCUGUGCGCAACUCUUUCCAGAAAAAAAAGAAACUGAACCUGAAACCUGAAACUGAAAUUGAUGUCUGUGUUUUAUUUUAUUCAAGUUAUGAAACUCUUUUUAAAGAAUAACAAGUUAAAGGAGAUUUGCAUCAUUUUCUCAGACACAUGUCGUUCCAAGCCUGUAUGACUUUCUUUUAUGGAACAUAAAAGAAUAUAUUCUGAAAGUCAGUGGGAUCUAACCACAUUUGGUCCCCAUUGAUCUUCCACCUUCUCAAACAUUUUCCAAAAUCCUAUUUUGUGUUUCAUGAACUGAUGGAUGAACUGUUUCUUUAAAAAUAAUUGAUCUAAUCUGGGUUUUUAAACUUUUAAAGUUGAUGACGUGUUAUCAUUCAUAUUCAUGAACAUCAUCCGUCUAACCUUGCCCAUAAUUCAGCAUAAUGAGGUUUGAGAAACAGAAACCAAGAGCAGAAUCGAAAGUUAACAACCUGAUACCACAGAAAUCCUGCUGAUCUCAACUUAAAUAGUGUAGAAGUUGUCUUAAUUGUUAAUUCAAGCUAAUUAAUGUUAACAAAUAUGGUAAAGUGUUACUGAAGGUAAAAGUGAUCUUUCAGUCUUCUGUGUUGUAAUUUUUUGGGUAUGGUGUUAAAAAAAGCAUGUGUUCUGAACCUAUAAAUGUAUGCAAAGCAACUGGUAAGAAACAUAUGUGUUGUCUCAAUAAAGUUAAGAGUGUCUAAGAUUAAUUUUAGUGGACGUUUAAAAAGCGCAAUCAAAAAUGCUGUCAUUCACUUUGGAACAACAGCAAAGCCUUCCUGUAGUGGGACGGGCCGACAGAAGAUCAGAAACUUACUGAGAAAACGAAACACAUGAAAACAAGGCCAACCGCUGUUCCCAGAUCAGUUGAGGGCGGUAACCGUGUACUAGUAUAAAUUACAGAGAGACACACUGAUCUGUCCUUUCCGUGACCAGAUCCUUCUGCUGCCAGAUCAACAAGGUCUACGGUGUUUCCUCUGUGGGAGAUGCUGUGGAAACCUGACUGGUCUUGGAGCACUAAUGUCAUCAUGAAGGAGGCGGAGGUCAUGUAAAUCCUUGCUGCCAGGGGCGGGGUCAUCUGGCACAGCGUCAUUCAGAGGGGAAACUCAUUUGCAUGAGUCUCUAUCUUUGUUUUGUGCUGGUGCCCAGAUGUGCAGAGGCCUGCGCAGUCUGCGAAGCCUAACACCGCUGUGACGCCUGACGAUCCGCGCAUGAAGCCUCAAAUUUCCGACAAAUGCUACAAAGCCAAGAACCGACCAGAAAAAAACCAAUGAAUGUAAUGCCAAAACUGAACCAAGAAAUCUCUUUAACACGUUGCUGACCAAUGAAUACUGCUACAAAUGUAAAGUAAAGUGAAGAAGCGAAUUUUUGGUGAAACCUUUGGUUUCUGCAUUGCUUGGUUCGGUUGGUCCGGGGCCCAGCUGAUAAAACAAAAAGCCCCGGAAAAAAUGUUUAAAAAAAUCUAAAUAAAAAUAGUAAAAUCUGCAACAAAAAUUCUUAUUGUACUGUGUUUAUUUUUGUUUAUCUUCCAGUGUUUGAUGAUGAAUUUAUUAACUAUAUCACUUCUUACACUAGGCCACUACAAGACUGUUUAGACACUGUAGGAAAAAAAAAAUAGAAAAAGAAAAUCAGUGGAGAAACAAAGUAUAUAUAAGAAAGUAUGUUUACACUUUACAACAAGGUCCCAUUAAUUAACAAUGAGAAAUACAUUUGUUACAGUAUUUAUUAAUAUUUGUUAACAAACAACUAUACAACUCAAAGUACAACUCUUUAUUUUAAUAUUGUAGUAAAUUUUGGACUAGGAUUAAUGUUAAUUUAUGUAGUUUAUGAAUGUGAACAAAUGGAAUUUUGUACAAAACAAUCAAAAGCAUUGCAUAGAUUUAACAUAAGUAUAACCAAGAGGCCAAACAUGAUCUUUUGUAUUUAAAAUGUUACAUAAUAAAUUAUAUAACUGAGAACAUCUGAGAUCCCACCCAAGCAAAGUUUCCCUUUCACUUUCGUUUCUGUGAAACGCUCUCAUCUAAUGUGUCUGCACCAGACUGGCUGCUGCAUAGUUGUGUUCUUUGAGGAGGUGUGAACAGUUUCUGUAGGAAGAGUAUAAGUAACAGAUGAAGGUCCAGUUCAGAUGAACUGCACUACGCUGCUCUGAACCCUAAACAAAUCAUCAGCAUGAUCUUAUCCGAGGGGAGUGAUGAAGGGGAUGACGACGAUGAUGAAGAAGAUGAUGGAGGUGCUGGAGUAAGUGUCUGCUGCCAAGGGUAGACAACUGCUCCAGACCUUGAUGCAGCCAGUGUUGAGAAAGACCCAAUAGCACGCUGGAUCAAACAAACUGUGUGCAAUUGCUGAUACAAGCCAGCAGCAGCCAAAGCAAUCACACAGCUUCAGUUGUGACAAAUGUCGCAACCCAAGUACCUCCCACGCCAUGUGUGUCCAUGGCAAACUUGACACGUAGACUAUGUUUCCUCCAUGGGAAUGAUGGAACUCGCAACUUUCCCGCUGUGCAGUGGCAGCACCAUCACUUUUUUUCAGAACGGCUCUGCUUUCAUGUCUGUUUGUGCAACCCUGAAGAAACCAUGGAGAGAAGAACGAAACGUUCAUGGAGAGGUGAUCCCUGAUGAUUACAGAGCUGCUGGUCCAGAGGUUGGAAGAUGUGAGACAGUUUUUUCUGAGAUCACAAUCGUCCUCAUUCACCAUUGUGCCACCGAGCAACGCACAUGACUCCAACGCAGGACUGACUGUUUCUGCAAAAUGUCUACAGUAGUCAACAAUCCAUUAAGAUACAAACAGAGAAUGGGCUGGAUGGGCAUUUUGAAGAUGUUCUAAUGGAUGCAUGUUGCUCACUUAUUUACUGGGAGGUCAUGCCCCUUUGAAGCCCAAGUGUAUUUGUUGUAAAGAUAUAUUCAGACUAUGGCUGCUUGGUCCAAAUUGCUCUCCAGUAAAACUAGCAGAAGGUUUCUGAAGCAGUGGACCAAGGUCAGAGAUAAAAGCCCAAUGGUUUUUUUUUUUUUUUUUUUUUUUUUUUAUUUUAUAUGUUCUUUUACCUCUUUGUCAAUGCCACUCAGCCAUAGAGAGCGUGAUCAGAGCGAGAUGACAUGUUCACCAGAAUAAGGUUCACAGGCACACUGGUUCUGCAGGUUGUGCUGACUGGGUUGAAUCCACUGGUUCAGAUAUCUUACUAACACUACACAAUAUGACACACUGUUAAAUUUCACGCACAGGUGUUAUCGCAGUGCUGUUGAAAAAAGUUACACAACAUAGGUAACGUACCUGUAAUGAGACAUGAUCUCAUACAGAACAAGGUCCUAAUCAAAGGACCUAUAAAGGUCUAGCCAAAAAUGAAGCCCAAUAGAUGCGACACAACAUCAAAGGCCCUCAUAUCCUAUUGAGCACUCGUCUUGGUUGUGUGGCAAGGGGGUCCUUAGCAAGUGGUCUGUUUAGUUUUACAAUGGUGUUCUUAGAAAUGUCAUGAAUGUAGAUGGAGUUCUGUGCAUUCGUCUGCCUAAAUGUAUCGCUUUCUAAUGAGCUACACGAUAAAACCCCCCUAAAUAAAGUACUACAUGUUGUGAAAAAA